rnacentral:rRNA from 1 species
UACGUAGGGUGCAAGCGUUAAUCGGAAUUACUGGGCGUAAAGGGCUCGUAGGCGGCCAACUAAGUCAGACGUGAAAUCCCCAGGCUCAACCUGGGAACUGCGUCUGAUACUGGAUGGCUUGAAUUCGGGAGAGGGAUGCAGAAUUCCAGGUGUAGCGGUGAAAUGCGUAGAUAUCUGGAGGAAUACCGGUGGCGAAGGCGGCAUCCUGGACCGACAUUGACGCUGAGGAGCGAAAGCUAGGGGAGCAAACGGG